GACGAACGCUGGCGGCGUGCUUAACACAUGCAAGUCGAACGGGAACAUCAGAAUAGUUUACUAAUUUGAUGUUUUAGUGGCGGACGGGUGAGUAACACGUGGGCAACCUGCCUUAGAGCGGGGGAUAACAGCGAGAAAUCGUUGCUAAUACCGCAUGAAAUUAGGGUUUGCAUGAAACUUUAAUGAAAGGAGAAAUCCGCUAUAAGAGGGGCCCGCGCCUGAUUAGCUAGUUGGUGGGGUAAAAGCCUACCAAGGCGACGAUCAGUAGCCGAUCUGAGAGGAUGACCGGCCACACUGGAACUGAGACACGGUCCAGACUCCUACGGGAGGCAGCAGUGGGGAAUAUUGCACAAUGGAGGGAACUCUGAUGCAGCAACGCCGCGUGGAGGAAGAAGGUUUUCGGAUUGUAAACUCCUGUCAUUUGGGACGAUAAUGACGGUACCAAAGGAGGAAGCCACGGCUAACUACGUGCCAGCAGCCGCGGUAAAUCACGAGAGUA
rnacentral:rRNA from 1 species